rnacentral:rRNA from 1 species
UACAGAGGGUGCAAGCAUUAAUCGGAAUUACUGGGCGUAAAGGGCAUGUAGGUUGUCUAGUAAGUUGAAUGUGAAAUCAUCGGGCUUAACCCGAUAACUGCAUACAAUACUGCUAGACUAGAGUGCGGUAGGGGAUGAUGGAAUUUUCUGUGUAGCGGUAAAAUGCUUAGAGAUUGGAAGGAACAUCGGAGGCAAAGGCGAUUGUCUGGGCCGCUACUGACACUGAAAUGCGAAAGUGUGGGGAGCAAACAGG